CCAAGCACCCAAAGCAGUUGCUUAUUGGCGAGUGUCAAUAAGAGGAAAGUCCGGACUUCAAGUCGGCUUCGAACAUUAUAAAAUCGAAGUAAGUGCCUGUGUGAGCAGGGUAGGUGAAAGCUUACGGAGAAAAGGGCAACAGAAAGCAAACCGCCAAUUUUUAAUUGGUAAGGGUGAAAAGGCAGUGUAAGAGACUACCGCACUUGUCAGCAAUGGCAAGUGGCGUGGUAACCCCCACUUGAAGCAAGGUUAUUAAGCCGCAAUCAGCUCUGGCUCAUGUCAGAACUGAUAGUUUACUCAGCAGAGCUUUGUGCUUUGUUAGAGGAGGAUUAGAUAGAUAACUGCAUAAACAGAAUUCGGCUUAUUGGGUGCUUGGUUUU
rnacentral:RNase_P_RNA from 1 species